UUUCCGUAGGUGAACCUGCGGAAGGAUCAUUAAAGAGAUCAUGCCCUCACUGGUAGACCUCCCACCCUUUGUUUACAAUACCUUUGUUGCUUUGGCGGGCCCGUUUGGCCCCGCGCUGAACAACCGGCCCCGGCUGGUCAGUGCCCGCCAGAGAACCGAAAACUCUGAAUUAAAUGUCGUCUGAGUACUAUGUAAUAGUUAAAACUUUCAACAACGGAUCUCUUGGUUCUG
rnacentral:misc_RNA from 1 species